UAGAUGCUUCUUUCUUUCUCGAGUGCGUCCAGACCUUCACCUCCGCCUUCGCCUCCCACCCCAAAAGCCUCUCCGGUUACAGCCGCUGUUCAGAUAUGCCUCUAGCAUGUCGCCUCUCUCAAAAGUCUUGCUGGUCGCAGCUGGGUCCUAUCGCUACUACCACCUAGGUCUUCAAUGUUGCCUCUUGGAGCCCCAUCGGUGGCUCCAAUGAGCUUGAGUUGAACUUUGUGCGCGCUUCGCUCCUCUCUCUCACCUGGAUUUUGGGAAAUCAAGCCUGUUUCGACAUCGCCAUGUGAAAAGCCUCUGCCAUUGAUUGCCUGUGUUUGGUGGGAUUUCACAAGCUAUUUUGCCAAAGAAGCAGUUAGGCAAAAAUUCACAGAAUUGUUGUCCUAGCAUGGCUAAUGCACUGGAGGUCCCAAGUCAUCCCUUCCAAGAAGCUAAGAUGGUUAUUUUUGCAUUUACUUCACGAUGUUGAAUUUGCGCUUGGACAUUUGGCUGGUAAGCUGAGACUUGGAGGUAUGUCUGUACCACAUCCAUGCAUUUUUUAUUAUUGUGAUUGAUAUGGUUAAUGGGGUUGCAAUACUUGCUUAGUCACUCAAUUUGAAAUAGAGAAAAGGUCAUUCGAGAGAUCCCUUUCUAAAUACUUUGUGGCUAGCUUAGAAUAUGCUGAGUUCCAUAUGCCUUAGAUAUCGCAAAUGCAUAUGAAUCAACUGCUCAUAAGUUCUGUCCAAUAACAUGAAGGAAGAUAACAUGGAGAUGGAUGAGAGGAAUACUGUUAAUUUUGACAAGAUAUGUAUUCUAUCAUCAGUUCCUUUUCAUUUGCUGCAGCACAGUUUCAUCAGAGAAUUGAGCCUAAACAAGGAUAAAAUUCCAGCUCAGUUUAUCAAGCCAGUUCAAAGGAAAUUGAUGUGACCCGGAAAUAUGUGGAUUGUUUGACUGCACCUGCCAUGGGGAAAGUCCUAGUCCGCACCAAGACUACCAGGUGCUUGAAUGUGAGUAUGCAAAAGAGGCUUGAACUUUUUUGGCUCCUUUGCU